CUGCGCGUACGUCAACCAAGGUGUGCACAUAGGCAGUCAGCCUGGAAAGUGGAGACAUGGCUCGUGCAGAUCCUCAUUGGCGUACAUGUGCGAGCGGUCGCCCGACGACUGCCCGGACGUAUGGCCGUGUUCCUACAAAGACUUGGGUUACACUUACAGUCGAGUGGAGACUUCCUACUGUGACUCUAACGAGAUCCUGUACAAGGACUCUUGUUAUCACUUUGAGGGGACGCCUA